rnacentral:rRNA from 1 species
UACGUAGGUGACCAGCGUUGUCCGGAUUUACUGGGCGUAAAGAGCGCGCAGGCGGUCGUUCAAGUCGAGUGUGAAAGCCCCCGGCUCAACGUGGGGAGGUCAUUCGAUACUGAUCGACUGGAAGGCAGGAGAGGGAAGCGGAAUUCCCGGUGUAGUGGUGAAAUGCGUAGAUAUCGGGAGGAACACCAGUGGCGAAGGCGGCGAUCUGGACGAUGACUGACGCUGAGACGCGAAAGGCGUGGGGAGGCAAACGGG